AUUGAACGCUGGCGGCAGGCCUAACACAUGCAAGUCGAGCGGAUGAAGGGAGCUUGCUCCUGGAUUCAGCGGCGGACGGGUGAGUAAUGCCUAGGAAUCUGCCUGGUAGUGGGGGAUAACGUCCGGAAACGGGCGCUAAUACCGCAUACGUCCUGAGGGAGAAAGUGGGGGAUCUUCGGACCUCCCGCUAUCAGAUGAUCCUAGGUCGGAUUAGCUAGUUGGUGGAGUAAAGGCCUACCAAGGCGACGAUCCGUAACUGGUCUGAGAGGAUGAUCAGUCACACUGGAACUGAGACACGGUCCAGACUCCUACGGGAGGCAGAAGUGGGGAAUAUUGGACAAUGGGCGAAAGCCUGAUCCAGCCAUGCCGCGUGUGUGAAGAAGGUCUUCGGAUUGUAAAGCACUUUAAGUUGGGAAGAAAGGCAGUAAGUUAAUACCUUGCUGUUUUGACGUUACCAACAGAAUAAGCACCGGCUAACUUCGUG
rnacentral:rRNA from 1 species